rnacentral:rRNA from 1 species
CCUACGGGAGGCAGCAGUGAGGAAUAUUGCUCAAUGGGCGCGAGCCUGACCCAGCCACGUAGCGUGAAGGAUGACUGCCCUCUGGGUUGUAAACUUUUUUUAUAAAGGAAUAAAGUGAGGCACGUGUGCCUUUUUGUAUGUACUUUAUGAGUAAGGAUCGGCUAACUCCGUUCCAGCAGCCGCGGUAAUACGGAGGAUCCGAGCGUUAUCCGGAUUUAUUGGGUUUAAAGGGAGCGUAGAUGGGUUGUUAAGUCAGGUGUGAAAGUUUGCGGCUCAACCGUAAAAUUGCAAUUGAUACUGGCAGCCUUGAGUACAGUUGAGGUAGGCGGAAUUCGUGGUGUAGCGGUGAAAUGCGUAGAUAUCACGAAGAACACCGAUUGCGAAGGCAGCUUACUAAACUGCCACUGACAUUGAUGCUCGAAAGUGUGGGUAUCAAACAGGAUUAGAUACCCUGGUAGUC